rnacentral:lncRNA from 1 species
UGUGUAAUUAUUCAAAGAUGCAGAAAAGGCUAGCACAUUAGUCCGAGAAGGGGGGAAACCGAGGACUACACUAACUUAUCAUUUGUGCUUUCUAAGAAAGGCUCCUCUAGGGUUUACCCGCCUCUUGCUCGCGUCGCCGCCGAUCAGCCUCCUCUCGUGAGGCCUUAGGGCCACGGAGGCGCAAUGGAUCUCGACCCUUGUCGUUGAGAGGGCUUGUGCUUUGUCUUUAGGGGUUUUUAGUCUAUUUAGGGUUUAUGCCCUACUCAGAAAGGCAAUGGCUCUCUCGAGAUAGAAUAAGGUUCUUCCUGCCUAUCCCCCAUCAAGGUGGUAUUUCCAGCGUCGUCGAAGGGUGAGCACGACGUCUCUAGGAGACGGUUCUAUAGGGCCUUAACACGAUGCCUCUAGGAGACGGUUCUAUAGGGCCUUAGCACGACGUCUUCGUGUAUGUCUAGUACAACAAGGCUUUUCCGGCUCCGUUGAGGGAGGAGCAAUAAUGAC